AAAACGACUAUCGGCAACGGAUAUCUCGGCUCUCGCAUCGAUGAAGAACGUAGCGAAAUGCGAUACUUGGUGUGAAUUGCAGAAUCCCGUGAACCAUCGAGUCUUUGAACGCAAGUUGCGCCCUAGGCCAUUAGGCUGAGGGCACGCCUGCCUGGGCGUCACGC
rnacentral:rRNA from 1 species